ensembl:lncRNA
GGUGGAGUGAGAUGAGAUGAGGUGAGGUGAGGUAACGUAUGGUGGGGUGAGGUGAUUAGAGGUGUGGUAGGGUGAGGUGAGGUAAGGUAUGGUGGGGUGAGGUACGGUAUGGUGGGGUGAGGUAUGGUGGGGUGAGAUAAGGUAUGGUGGGGUGAGUUAAGGUAUGGUGGGGUGAGAUGAGGUUAGGUAUGGUAAGGUGAGUUAAGGUAUAGUGGGGUGAGAUGAGGUAAGGUAUGGUAAGGUGAGUUAAGGUAUAGUGGGGUGGGGUGAGUUACGGUAUGGUGGGGUGAGGUGUGGUGGGCUGAGGUGUGGUGGGGUGAGGUAAGGUAUGGUGGGGUGAGGUGUGGUGGGGUGAGGUGUGGUGGGGUAAGGUAUGGUGGGGUAAGGUAUGGUGGGGUGAGGUGAGGUAAGGUGGGGUGAGGUAAGGUAUGGUGGGGCGAGGUAAGGUAUGGUGCGAUGAGGUGAGGUAAGGUGGGUUGAGGUGUGGUGGGGUAAGGUAUGGUGGGGUGAGGUAAGGUAUGGUGGGGUGAGGUGAGGUGAGGUAAGGUAUAGUGGGGUGAGAGGAGGUAAGGUAUGGUGGGGUGAGGUAAGGUAUAGUGGGGUGAGAGGAUGUAAGGUAUGGUGGGGUGAGGUAAGGUAUGGUGGGGUGGGGUGAGGCGAGGUACGGUGGGGUGAGGUAUGGUGGGGUGGGGUGAGUUAACAUAUGGUGGGGU